AAAAGACAGCGAUAUUGGUGAGGUUCAAUCCGAAGACGGAUUUACAUAUGGGUUGUAAAAGACGAUCUCAGAUUGAGCCGCGCCAAUAUCACUCUCUACGUG
rfam:Eucalyptus grandis cultivar BRASTZ1 unplaced genomic scaffold scaffold_3, whole genome shotgun sequence.